rnacentral:lncRNA from 1 species
UUUUUGUUUGUCUUUUUCAUUUUUUAGCCAUGGCGUUGUCAGUUUGUUUUAGAUUUAUGAGUUUGACUGUCCCUUUGGUAUCUUUCGUCCCUUUUUUAUUAAUUGUAAACACAGCGUUGAAUUUUUCGAAAUGCUAAUGAUUUUCAAUCCAAAGAAAAGUUUGCCUUAGCUGUAUUUGGCCAAGUGUUUUCGCAAUUUGGGGUCCUUAAUGCUCUUCUACUUCGUAUUCUUUUUAAUUCUUUUGAUCCGGCGGACAAAAUUUUAUUCCUGGAUUUAUGGUGAGUUUGUUAACUCAGUUAAAAUGGCUUUUUUAGGUUCGAUGAUUUGUAUUUGAUUUGAAUUUUUUUUAGCAUAUUCUGAUAAAUUAAAUUGUAUACAGCGAUACAUGAGGAGAUGCGUAUUUCAG